rnacentral:rRNA from 1 species
UACGGAGGAGGCAAUCGUUAUCCGGAAUUAUUGGGCGUAAAGCGUCCGCAGGUGGCGAUUCAAGUCUGCGGUUAAAGACUGGGGCUUAACCCUGGAAAGGCCGUGGAAACUGAAACGCUAGAGUGCAGUAGGGGUAGAGGGAAUUCCCGGUGUAGCGGUGAAAUGCGUAGAGCUCGGGAAGAACAUCGGUGGCGAAAGCGCUCUGCUGGACUGCAACUGACACUCAGGGACGAAAGCUAGGGGAGCGAAUGGG